rnacentral:rRNA from 1 species
AUUGAACGCUGGCGGCAUGCUUUACACAUGCAAGUCGAACGGCAGCACGGUCAUAGCUUUCGCGUAGGGUGGGCGACGGGCGGGUAAUUGAUCAGUACGUGCGAAUCUGCGUGUUAGAGGGCGGUGAAAGCGGGAAUAAUACCCCAAUAGCGCAUACGACCUAAGGGGGGGAGCGAAAGGUCUUCGGCCAUUGCGCCGGUGGAUGACGGGAUGUCGGAUUAGCUAGUUGGAGGGGUAAAGGCCCACCAAGGCGACGAUCCGUAGCUGGUCUGAGAGGAUGACCAGCCACACUGGAACUGAGACACGGCCCAGACUCCUACGGGAGGCAGCAGUGGGGAAUAUUGGACAAUGGGGGCAACCCUGAUCCAGCCAUGCCGCGUGGGUGAAGAAGGCCUUCGGGUUGUAAAGCGCUUUUGUUCGGAAAGAAAACCAGUAGGCUAAUACCCCGCUGGGAUGACGGUACCGAAAGAAUAAGCACCGGCUAACUUCGUG